CCUACGGGAGGCAGCAGUGAGGAAUAUUGGUCAAUGGGCGAGAGCCUGAACCAGCCAAGCCGCGUGAAGGAAGACGGCUCUAUGGUUUGUAAACUUCUUUUAUACGGGAGUAAAGGCAGGUACGCGUACCUGUCUGUAAGUAUCAUACGAAUAAGCAUCGGCUAACUCCGUGCCAGCAGCCGCGGUAAUACGGAGGAUUCGAGCGUUAUCCGGAUUUAUUGGGUUUAAAGGGUGCGUAGGCGGUCAAUUAAGUUAGCGGUGAAAGUUCGUGGCUCAACCACAAAAUUGCCGUUGAAACUGGUCGACUUGAGUGUAUUUGAGGUAGGCGGAAUGCAUGGUGUAGCGGUGAAAUGCAUAGAGAUCACACAGAACUCCGAUUGCGAAGGCAGCUUACCAAGCUAUUACUGACGCUGAGGCACGAAAGCGUGGGGAGCAAACAGGAUUAGAUACCCCAGUAGUC
rnacentral:rRNA from 1 species